AGCCCUGAGGUGAGUUAUCAUAUUGAAUUGCAAAUUCAAAGAAGCAGUUUCAACCCUGCCGGGGCUU
rnacentral:tRNA from 1 species